GAGAAGUAAAAAAACAAAUACGUUGCUUAAUUAACAACGUUUAAAACAACAAAAGAAAACAUACCACAACGAAUACUAACGUACAGCGUACACCCGGAAGUGCGACAUAAUGCAUUAGCCCUCAAUAAGAGUGGAGCAAAAAUCAAUACGAGAAUAAACAACUAACGGCGAACAUGAAUGGCUAUAGAGCAGCAGUAGCAGCAGCAGCAUCGGUCACAUAUUAAGUUGAGCAAAGAAGUACGAGAAAAAAAGGAUACCGAGCUAUUUAUUUACUUUGAACAAUUUCCCAUAACUCCCACCUCGCUCUCUUUCUGUCGUCCUGCCUCUUUUAUCCGGGAAAAACCAUUCCAACACGAUCACCAUCACAACGGAAAAAUGUACCCCCUAAAGGAAACUGAACCGCGGGUCGAAGGGUUGGAAGCAAAACACACGCUAUAGGCCAUGGCCGGAAGGAAGAGGGACGUGAAACCAGCGCACCAAACCCUCCGGAAGAGGGGUGAAACUACGACUGCAUAAAACUGGUUUUAAGUUUCGUAGGAGAGUAUGUAACCCGCCUCCAGCAUUGCGCAGAGGUGAUAUGGGGGGGAGUCACAAAAGGUUGGAAAACUUUGGGUAAGAAAAGUGUGUAAGAGAAGGUGGCAACGAGGCGAUUAGCCGAAAGAUAAAUAGAAAGCUAUUCAAUAGAAAUAAAAUACAAUACAACGCCCUUUCCCCUAACAAAAAACAAAAAACAGUAUAAAAGAAAAGUUAAUAAACGAUAUGUAGCUAACACAUAAGCAUUAAGCAACGACGAUAUCGAUUAUUAAUUGCGAACAAAGAGAAUGGCGUUGUGUUCGAUGCACUCGCGUAAGUGGUUGUAAAACCAUUCGCUAAAGCUAAUGAAUAAAGUGGGAAAAAUCGACACCACUACAGCGAACACACACACACACCAUCGAUCGAUCGAAAGGAGAACAAAGGAAAAGAAGAAGAGAAAAAAACAGAUUAAAACAUAGACUGUUGAACAAUACAAUAUGACAAAUCGACAAAACCCGCACUGUCAACAGGAAAUGCAAAUAGUAUAAAAAUAAAAAAGAGAAAAACUGAGAAAAAAACAAGAUAGAAGCAACAACAAAAGACACAUACAAACACAAACACACUCACAAAAUGGAAUUUGUAUCUAUAUAGUUUUGUUCUCUUUUGGUGUACUUGUGCAAGGGAAGCGCACACCGAGCAUGGCCUGCCCCGACGAGGUUUGUUGCUAGCGUUAGCAGAAGAUAGCGAAGAAUGUAAUAGAAAACCCAUCGGUCGCAACAAAAGCCAAUCGCACCACACGACCACCACCGUCACCAACAACAUGCGCACACCCGGGGGGAUGAAGGCAAUGACGAUGACUCUCGUAAUUUGAGACCGAAAAUUGCACGAAGACGAUUAUGAGAAUCUAAUAUAAGCAGGGAAAGCAAACAGGCAAAUGCAAGAUGGCACAGCAAUACGUUAAAGAAAUGGUUAAAAAGCAAUACAUUUUAUCAGGUAACACAGAAAAAGAUAGUGGCAACACUCCCUCUCACUCACAAUCGCUCUCUCUCUCUCUCUCUCUCUCCCUCUCUAUUCCUUUAAUGUCUUAUCAAUUUCGCUGGGUGGUGUUUGAUGCUUGUUUUUUGCCCAUUCAAGCGCCACCUCACUCACCCCUCUUAAUAUGAACAUAAACUUAUGUGCGCGUGUCUGUGUCUGACAAAGUGGUCUUGUGGACAAGUUCCACACACAGCAAAAGGGAGGACAGAGAGCGACAGAGAGUGUGUGUAUGUUGUGCCCUGCUUUUAAAAAUUGCAUAAAACUUGCUAAAAUCUAUCGAUUUCACUGGAAUGUUUCGGUUGGCGGGGGGGAAAAAUAUGUGAAAACGAGCUUGUUUCCGGAGAUUGGGAAACAACGUUUCUCUGUUAAUACUUUUCCCAACAAAUAUAUCAUACACACACACACCACCUACAAAGAGACAUACAAGCUACAAAUGCGCGGGGAGGGAAAAUAUGAUGAUGAUGACGAUGAUGAAAUCUGUGUAUCGCAAGGGUGGUUUGUGCUUAUUUUUUGUUUUCUGUAAACUCAGCUUUAUAUCGCAGUCGCAGGUUGGGCUUGAGCGGCCAACCACCUUUCUCGGGGGGUAAUGUAAUUUUACCUCAAAACGUUUUUUAAGCCCGUCAUUGUGUUUUGAGUGUGUGUGUCGAACUUAUUUUUAUACUAAAGCUAAUGAUAAAUCAAUAACAUCAAAACAAAUUAGAAGCUUGAUGGAACUAAAACUAGACAAGCGAGAGCAGACAAGCAAAAUGAGAGGAUGAGAGAAAGGUUAAAAGGAAGCAUAGCAAAAAAAGGUUGUGGAAAUUGUGUUAUAUAAGAUGAAAAGAAGAAACGGGUACAUAAUAAAAUAAAAAUACUGAAGC